rnacentral:rRNA from 1 species
UACGAAGGGGGCGAGCGUUGUUCGGAUUUACUGGGCGUAAAGGGCGCGCAGGCGGCGGAUCAAGUCGCGUGUGAAAGCCCCCGGCUCAACUGGGGAGGGUCACGCGAUACUGAUCGACUCGAAGGCAGGAGAGGGUAGUGGAAUUCCCGGUGUAGUGGUGAAAUGCGUAGAUAUCGGGAGGAACACCAGUGGCGAAGGCGGCCGGCUGGGGGUGACCUGACGCUGAGGCGCGAAAGCGUGGGGAGCGAACCGG